rfam:Callithrix jacchus chromosome 11, whole genome shotgun sequence
AGCUUUGUGCAGUGGCAGUAUCAUAGCCAAUGAGGUUUAUCCGAGGCGUGAUUAUUGCUAAUUGAAAACUUUUCCCAAUAUUCCGCCUUGACAACUUGAAAUAUAGUCGGCACUGGGGCCGGGUGAGGU